UGCACGACUUCUCCUACUCCAAUUUCUGAAACACUUGAAACUACAAUAAUCAUCCAUUUUAAAUCACAUUCAAUCCCCCACUAACUUUUCAGCUCCUUCUCUUUGCGAUUUAAAUCCUGCAAACCAUCUCAUUGUUCUAUCAUUCACUUCAUUAAGUCCUCUUUAUUGAAAAAUCAAUUCUUUUUUUUCUUUGGUUAAUUUUUAUAAAGUUCAAGUAAUUGGGAAGUUGCAUUACAAGCCCAGGAAAGCAAACGUGCCAACCAUCCGAGGAGUGGAUAAUGAGAUUCAAGCUACGAGGAGGCAAGAUAUUGAAAAGACGAAGGAUGACACAAAGUUUGAGAUGAGUGUUCAUAAGCCUUCAACAUUUGGGACACAAUCUGAACCUACACCAGAGGCAUAAGAUGCACCAUCAGGUAUGUCGUUUCCUUUAGCUACUAUUGUUCUACACGGUAAUUCUGCAACUUUUGGGUCCAUACCUACACCUUCAAUGACAGACACAGCAGAUACCACUUCCAUGCCACCAAGAUACUCGGAUUACAGGAUAACCCAGAAGAUAUUUGUAAAAAUGGUUAAAGCACAAUAGAAAUUUGAGUGGCAGUUGAAUAUAUAGGCAAAAGAGUUUAAAUUGUUUGCGAACAGACUAGUGGCUAAGGCUAUGAAGUUGUGUGAGAACCUGCACGUGCGAAUGGAUGACAUGGAGGAGCGAGUGAAUAACAAGUUGAGAGAGAUUUUAAUUCUAGACUUAGCCAGGUUCACAGCCGAGCUAAAAUAAGAACAGGUUGAUAUGCGGAGUUGAAAAGGCAACCAGGUCUGAGCAUCUUUGAUUUGGCUUUAGUAUAAAUUGAUAAAGAAGUAGAUAUUGUGGACCUCAUUGGUAGACAGAUGAAAGAUAAGGGAAAAGUUGUACUAAAAGUGUUGAGAAAUAGCUGUCUAGGAAGAGAAGACAUCAAGAUGAGACACCAGAGGAAAGGGCAGUGUAAAGAGCAAUGAGAAGAUCAAGAAUAGAUGAAGAAGCAAGAAUAAACGAGUUGAAGAUGAAGUUGCAAGCGUGUCCACUAGUGAGGGUUAAUAAAGUGGACACAGGCCAGCUCCACUACCUAUUCCUACUCAAGUCACUGAGGAAGUGGCUAAUUUGAGCACCCCGGUCACCGUCGGGGUCACUACUACUGUUGCUGAGGCCAGGGAGGCCUCUCAUGACUCGACAGAUUCACAAGCCUAAUAGUUGUUCAAGUAUUCUACUCCCUUGUACUUUAUUUAGAAUCCAUUGAGGACAAUGCAUAUAUUUUAGUGCAGGGUGGGUGCUUGUGUGAAAUCUGUCACCAUGGGAGUUUUUGUUGCCUGUGUUCUUUUCCCUCGUGCGCUAUCUAAGAGAAUUGGCAUGUUUAGAAUUUUAUUGUAUUGUAUGUUUUUAUUGUUUUCAUGUGAUUAUAAAUAUGCAUUAUUUUAUUACUUCUA